CCCUCACCUUAUUCGUGGGGUUCAUGGAUUUGCUGAAGAUCUUAUGGGGAAAAAAGUUGCUACAAUAUUUGGAAAGUGGGAUGAAAGCAUGUAUUAUGUUAAUGGUGACAGGGGCAACAAUAUGUAUUAUGUCUUUCUAUUUUAUAUAUCCUACGGAUUCCAGGCUUAGACCAGACCAACGACAUUUGGAGAAUGGAGAAUAUGAGAAGGCAAAUGCUGAGAAACAACGUUUAGAGAAAAAGCAAAGAAUGUCAAGGAAAUUACAAGAAAGUGGAUGGAAACCAAAAUAGUUCAAAAGAAGAAGUGAAGAUGGACCUUUCUGCUACAUGGGUCGGUAGUCCUUACUAUGUCGUCCCAGAAGUGUUACGGAAGCAUUAUGGUCCAGAAUGUGAUGUUUGGAGCGCUGGGGUAAUCAUUUAUAUUUUACAUAGUGGAGUGCCCCCAUUUUGGGAUGAAUUGGAGCAAGGAAUAUUUGAGCAGGUUUUAAGGGGAGAACUCGAUUUUAUCUCUGAACCAUGGCCUAGCAUAUCUGAAAGUGCAAAGGAUCUUGUUCGAAGAAUGCUUGUAAGGGACCCUAAGAAGCGGCUUACGGCCCAUGAAGUUCUUAGUAAGUUAAUGGUCUUGAUUGAUUAUUAUGUCAGGUGACUUAAUUUGUUUAGCAUCCAUAGUCAUACAUUUUAUUUUUCUAUUGUAUAGAUGCAUCUUUUUAGUCUAAAUAAGCAAUAUCAUUUGACACUGGCAUGAUUUUUUUUUUAUCAUAAAGUAAAAGAAAUAUGCAAUAUGAAUUGUUUUAUGAUCUAGAGUUCUGACCCUCUUUUUUAAAAAUUCUAAUGGUAUAAACUAGAAUGUGGUGAUUUGAGCAUUAGUAGUAGCUUUUCCCAUUUAAAAUAUGACGACUUAUAGUUUUUUUUUUCAUUCCAAAUAAUAUGUUCUUCUAACUUAAAACUAGGCUUCACAUAUUUGUUUUAAUGCUUCUAUUAUGUCGUAGGCCACCCUUGGGUUCAAGUUGGUGGUGUUGCUCCUGACAAACCUCUUGAUUCCGCUGUUUUAUAGCGCUUGAAACAAUUCUCUACUAUGAACAAGCUGAAGAAAAUAGCCAUUAGGAUGUCGAUAAUAGUGGACAGAUCACUCUUGAGGAACUAAAGAAUGGUUUGGAAAAGGUAGAUGCAAAUCUCAAGGAUUCCGAAAUAAGUGGACUAAUGCAAGCGGUAAGUAAUGAUUCUGAGUAAUGAUUCUGAUUCAGGGAACUGUAAUAAGGCUUGUAAAAAUUGUAGAAUCAAUCUUGUUUGCUAUUUAUUGAAACCUAUUCCGGUUGUUUUGUUAAAAAAAAAAUUAUUUCCUGAAUCGUUCUUUCCGAUCGGAUAAUUUGAAAUGAGAAUGAGAAUGCGAAUGAAUGCAGUUGACAGAAAGAGGAAAAAAAUAAAAAGAAAAAACUGACCUUAAAGUGGGAAUAUAAACAAGGAUUCAUCUUCUUUCCUCUAACUACUACAAGUUGAUGAAGUUAGAUUAUAGUCUAAUAUAUCCUUUGUAACAACUUCAAAGAUUGUUAGAUUAUAGUCUAACAUAAUUAUCCAUGUAAUAACAUUCUAUAUAAGUGUCUGAUGUAUGAGUGUUAUUAGCUAGCUUAUCAUGUAAUGUAAUUCUCUUGUUCCCCCACCCCCACUUUUUUUUUUUCUUUAUUUUCUUCCCAAUAUAUAUUUGGCUCAGAAAGCAUAGAUUUUAGUUUCACAUUUAUUUGUGCAUUCUCUCUCUUUCUAUUGGAAUAAAAGAAUAAAUAUGUAUUUAUAUAAUUAUUAUUGUUUUUCUUAAUUGAACAAAUAUAAAUUAUUAUUAUUGUAAUUCUUGUAAUUUUUUAAAUAAAUAAUUAAAUUUUAAAUAAAAUUAAUAUUUACGUGCUUCGGCA